rnacentral:rRNA from 1 species
UACGUAGGGUGCAAGCGUUGUCCGGAAUUAUUGGGCGUAAAGAGCGUGUAGGCGGCCCGACAAGUCCGCUGUGAAAGUCCAGGGCUCAACCCUGGAAUGCCGGUGGAUACUGUCGGGCUAGAGUCCGGAAGGGGCGAGUGGAAUUCCUGGUGUAGCGGUGAAAUGCGCAGAUAUCGGGAGGAACACCUGUGGCGAAAGCGGCUCUCUGGGACGGUACUGACGCUGAGACGCGAAAGCGUGGGGAGCGAACAGG